rnacentral:misc_RNA from 1 species
GAUGAAGAACGUAGCGAAAUGCGAUACUUGGUGUGAAUUGCAGAAUCCCGUGAACCAUCGAGUCUUUGAACGCAAGUUGCGCCCGAAGCCACUAGGCCGAGGGCACGCCUGCCUGGGCGUCACACCCCGUUGCCCCCCCAUCUACUCCUUCGGGAUUGCGGGGGGGCGGAUGAUGGCCUCCCGUGCGCCUAGCCGCGCGGUUGGCAUAAAUACCAAGUCCUCGGCGACGCACGCCACGACAAUCGGUGGUUGCGAAACCUCGGUUGCCCGUCGUGUGCGUUCGUCGCGCAUCGAGGGCUCGAAAAAAUGCUCGGCUCCGGCUGGGCUUUCAACGCGACCCCAGGUCAGGCGGGGUUACCCGCUGAAUUUAAGCAUAUCAAUAAGCGGAGGA